rnacentral:rRNA from 1 species
AGAUUGAACGCUGGCGGCAGGCCUAACACAUGCAAGUCGAGCGGCAGCACGGGUACUUGUACCUGGUGGCGAGCGGCGGACGGGUGAGUAAUGCCUAGGAAUCUGCCUGGUAGUGGGGGGAUAACGCUCGGAAACGGACGCUAAUACCGCAUACGUCCUACGGGAGAAAGCAGGGGACCUUCGGGCCUUGCGCUAUCAGAUGAGCCUAGGUCGGAUUAGCUAGUUGGUGAGGUAAUGGCUCACCAAGGCGACGAUCCGUAACUGGUCUGAGAGGAUGAUCAGUCACACUGGAACUGAGACACGGCCCAGACUCCUACGGGAGGCAGCAGUGGGGAAUAUUGGGCAAUGGGCGAAAGCCUGAUCCAGCCAUGCCGCGUGUGUGAAGAAGGUCUUCGGAUUGUAAAGCACUUUAAGUGGAGAAGGCAGUUACCUAAUACGUAUCUGUUUUGACGUUACCGACUAGAAUAAGCACCGGCUAACUCUGUG